rnacentral:tRNA from 1 species
ACCUGGCUGGCUCAGUUGGUAGAGCAUGAGACUCUUGAUUUCAGAGUUGCACGUUAGAACCCUAUGUUGGGUG